UGGCCACGUCAUGUUGAAACACUAGUUCUUGUAUGAUGACUGAAGUUAAGCAACUUUGUGCCUGGUUGGUACCUCAAUGGGUGACCACUUGGGAAUAUCAGGU